ACCAUGCNAGUCGAACGGCAGCACGGGAGCAAUCCUGGUGGCGAGUGGCGAACGGGUGAGUAAUAUAUCGGAACGUGCCCAGUCGUGGGGGAUAACGCAGCGAAAGCUGUGCUAAUACCGCAUACGAUCUACGGAUGAAAGCGGGGGAUCGCAAGACCUCGCGCGAUUGGAGCGGCCGAUAUCAGAUUAGCUAGUUGGUGGGGUAAAGGCCCACCAAGGCGACGAUCUGUAGCUGGUCUGAGAGGACGACCAGCCACACUGGAACUGAGACACGGUCCAGACUCCUACGGGAGGCAGCAGUGGGGAAUUUUGGACAAUGGGCGCAAGCCUGAUCCAGCAAUGCCGCGUGCAGGAUGAAGGCCUUCGGGUUGUAAACUGCUUUUGUACGGAACGAAACGGUGAGCUCUAAUAAAGUUUGCUAAUGACGGUACCGUAAGAAUAAGCACCGGCUAACUACGUGCCAGCAGCCGCGGUAAUACGUAGGGUGCGAGCGUUAAUCGGAAUUACUGGGCGUAAAGCGUGCGCAGGCGGUUAUAUAAGACAGAUGUGAAAUCCCCGGGCUCAACCUGGGACCUGCAUUUGUGACUGUAUAGCUAGAGUACGGUAGAGGGGGAUGGAAUUCCGCGUGUAGCAGUGAAAUGCGUAGAUAUGCGGAGGAACACCGAUGGCGAAGGCAAUCCCCUGGACCUGUACUGACGCUCAUGCACGAAAGCGUGGGGAGCAAACAGGAUUAGAUACCCUGGUAGUCCACGCCCUAAACGAUGUCAACUGGUUGUUGGGUCUUCACUGACUCAGUANCGAAGCUAACGCGUGAAUUGACNGCNUGGGGANUACGGCCCCANGUUNAACUCAAGGANUGACGGGGACCCCCCANCGUGGAUG
rnacentral:rRNA from 1 species